rnacentral:rRNA from 1 species
GAUGAACGCUGGCGGCGUGCCUAAUACAUGCAAGUCGUGCGAACAGACGAGUUGCUUGCUCCACUGACGUUAGCGGCGGACGUGUGAGUAACAUGUGGUUAACCUACCUAUAGGACUAGGAUAACUUCCGGAAGCCAGAACUAAUACCGUAUAAUAUAUUGAACGGCAUGGUUCAAUAGUUAAAGCCGUUUUUGCUGUCACUUCUAGAUAGAUCCGCGCCGCAUUAGUUAGUUCGUAAGGUAACGGCUUCCCAAGGCAACGGUGCGUAGCCGACCUGAGAGGGUGAAGCGCCACACUGGGACUGAGACACGGUACAGACACCGACGGGAGGCACCGGUAGGGACUCGUGGGAGAUGGGCGAAAGCUUGAAGGAGCAACGCCGCGUGGGUGAUGAAGGUCUGCGGACCGUAAGACUGUGUUAUGGGGGAAGAACAAAUGUGUAAGUAACGAUGCACGUCGUGACGGUACCUAAACAGAAAGCAACGGCUAACUACGUG